GCGCAGGAACCGCAGCAGGAAGGCGUCGCUGAGCGGCCCUGGGAGCAGCGGAGAGCCCGGCGCCCGGGCCCGGCGCCGCAGCUCUGCCAGGCUGGGCUGCAGCAGCGGCGAGUGGUCGGGCAGCAGGCUGAGCUGCGCCCCCGCCGGCCCCGGCGCCUCCGCCAUGCCCGCCGCCCUACCCACACCGCUGCCUCCGCGCCGGGAAAAGCGCGGCCGGCCGGCCACCCCUCCUUCGCCGGCCGCUCGCCCUGCCCGCCGGGCUGUGCCGGGACCUCCGCAGAGGGAGACACGUGGUGGCCCCACCGCGCUCCGCGUCCCGCAGGCUCCAGGGCCGCAGCUGAGAAUUCGUUUCAACUGAGCCACGACGGGAACUCUGACAUCUAUGAUUGAUUCAAGCUCCAGCCUCUCUCCCUGGAAAUCAGGAGGUGGGAGUGAAAGUAUGGUCUAUUCAGGCUUGGAUCUCCUGGCAACCAGCAGGCCCAUUUCUGAGUCAUUUCCCAAAGUCACCUCAUUGUCAUAAACUCAGUUGGGGUUGAAA